rnacentral:rRNA from 1 species
AGAGUUUGAUUCUGGCUCAGAACGAACGCUGGCAGCGUGGAUUAGGCAUGCAAGUCGAACGGGAAGCCGCUGAUCAAUCUUUCGAGAAAGUGAAGCGGCGGAGAGUGGCGAAAGGGUGAGUAACGCGUGGGUAACCUACCUCAAAGCUGGGGAUAACCUCUCGAAAGGGGGGCUAAUACCGAAUGUGGUGGGGCUGCGCAUGCAGCCUCUACUAAAGGCGGGGAUCCUUCGGGACCUGUCGUUUUGAGAGGGGCCCGCGUACCAUCAGCUUGUUGGUGAGGUAACGGCUCACCAAGGCUUACGGUUAGCUGGUCUGAGAGGAUGGUCAGCCACACUGGGACUGAGACACUGCCCAGACUCCUACGGGAGGCUGCAGUCGAGGAUCAUUCGCAAUGCGCGAAAGCGUGACGAUGCGACGCUGCGUGGAGGAUGAGGGCCUUCGGGUCGUAAACUCCUGUCAAUCGGGAAGAACAGUCCAGCCGUAAAUAGCGGCGGGAUUUGACGGUACCGGUAGAGGAAGCCACGGCUAACUCUGUGCCAGCAGCCGCGGUAAUACAGAGGUGGCGAGCGUUGUUCGGAUUUACUGGGCGUAAAGCGUGCGUAGGCGGCUUGGUAUGUCAGAUGUGAAAGCCCACGGCUCAACCGUGGAAAGUCAUCUGAAACUACCAGGCUUGAGUGCAGGAGGGGAGAGCGGAAUUCUUGGUGUAGCGGUGAAAUGCGUUGAUAUCAAGAAGAACACCGGUGGCGAAGGCGGCUCUCUGGAAUGUUACUGACGCUGAGGCACGAAAGCGUGGGGAGCAAACAGGAUUAGAUACCCUGGUAGUCCACGCCGUAAACGGUGCGCACUUGGUGUUGGGGGUAUUGACCCCCCCAGUGCCGGAGCUAACGCGUUAAGUGCGCCGCCUGGGGAGUACGGUCGCAAGAUUAAAACUCAAAGAAAUUACGGGGGCCCGCACAAGCGGAGGAGCAUGUGGCUUAAUUCGAUGCAACGCGAAGAACCUUACCAGGGCUUGACAUGGGGACCCUUCGGGGGUGGUAGCGAAAGUUACCUUUACCAUCACAGGUGCUGCAUGGCUGUCGUCAGUUCGUGCCGUGAGGUGUUGGGUUAAGUCCCGCAACGAACGCAACCCCUGUGGUUAGUUGCCACCGGCGGUGAUGAGCCGCCGAGCACUCUAGCCAGACUGCCCGUACAAGCGGGAGGAAGGUGGGGACGACGUCAAGUCAGUAUGGCCCUUACGCCCUGGGCUGCACACGUGCUACAAUGGUCGGUACAGAGGGAUGCAAUACCGCGAGGUGGAGCAAAUCUAGAAAACCGGCCUCAGUUCGGAUUGGAGUCUGAAACUCGACUCCAUGAAGUUGGAUUCGCUAGUAACGGCGUAUCAGCUACGACGCCGUGAAUACGUUCCCGGGCCUUGCACACACCGCCCGUCACAUCAUGAAAGCCGUCUGCACCCGUAGUCGCUGAGCCAACCCCUCACGGGGAGGCAGGUGCCGAAGGUGUGGGUGGUGAUUGGGAUGAAGUCU